rnacentral:rRNA from 1 species
AGCGAACGCUAGCGGCGGGCUUAACACAUGCAAGUCGAGCGCAUCUCCUUCGGGAGGUGAGCGGCGAACGGGUGAGUAACACGUAGGUAACGUACCCUCUGGUGGGGAAUAACCCAGGGAAACUUGGGCUAAUACCGCAUGUGCCCUUCGGGGUGAAAGACUUCGGUUGCCAGAGGAUCGGCCUGCGGCCCAUUAUUUAAUCCUAGUUGGUAGGGUAACGGCCUACCAAGGGUACGAUGGGUAGCUGGUCUGAGAGGAUGAUCAGCCACACUGGGACUGAGACACGGCCCAGACUCCUACGGGAGGCAGCAGUGGGGAAUAUUGGACAAUGGGCGAAAGCCUGAUCCAGCCACGCCGCGUGAGUGAUGAAGGCCUUCGGUUGUAAGACUCUGUCGGGAGGGAC